rnacentral:rRNA from 1 species
CGACCGGCGCACGGGUGAGUAACACGUAUGCAACCUGGCCGUCACAGGUGGAUAACCGGAAGAAAUUCCGACUAAUACAGCAUAAUACUCCUGAGGGGACAUCCCUUGGGAGUCAAAGGAGGCAACUCCGGUGACGGAUGGGCAUGCGGCGCAUUAGGUAGUUGGUAGGGUAACGGCCUACCAAGCCGACGAUGCGUAGGGGUUCUGAGAGGAAGGUCCCCCACAUUGGAACUGAGACACGGUCCAAACUCCUACGGGAGGCAGCAG